rnacentral:rRNA from 1 species
UGAAAUGCGCAGAUAUCAAGAAGGAACACCCGAUGGCGAAGGCAGAUCUCUGGCCGGUAACUGACGNUNAGGAGCGAAAGCGUGGGGAGCGAACAGGAUUAGAUACCCUGGUAGUCCACGCCGUAAACGUUGGGCGCUAGAUGUAGGACCUUUCCACGGUUUCUGUGUCGUAGCUAACGCAUUAAGCGCCCCGCCUGGGGAGUACGGCCGCAAGGCUAAAACUCAAAGGAAUUGACGGGGGCCCGCACAAGCGGCGGAGCAUGCGGAUUAAUUCGAUGCAACGCGAAGAACCUUACCAAGGCUUGACAUACACCGGAAACGGCCAGAGAUGGUCGCCCCCUUGUGGUCGGUGUACAGGUGGUGCAUGGUUGUCGUCAGCUCGUGUCGUGAGAUGUUGGGUUAAGUCCCGCAACGAGCGCAACCCUCGUUCUAUGUUGCCAGCGCGUUAUGGCGGGGACUCAUAGGAGACUGCCGGGGUCAACUCGGAGGAAGGUGGGGAUGACGUCAAAUCAUCAUGCCCCUUAUGUCUUGGGCUUCACGCAUGCUACAAUGGCCGGUACAAAGGGCUGCGAUACCGUAAGGUGGAGNGAAUCCCAAAAAGCCGGUNUCAGUUNGGAUUGAGGUNUGCAACUCGACCUCAUGNAGUCGGA